AUGGCCCUGCGAGUCGAGGCCCUGGUUGCCACCGACACCGCUGCCGCCGAGGGCAGGCGUGCCAAGGACGACGUAUGGGUGGCGGCGGAGGAGGGAGACAUGUCUGGAGCCAGCGCCGGCCGGCCGCUGCUGUUCCGGACCAUGAAGGUCAAGGGAAGCAUCCUGCAUCCUUACAGGUUCUUGAUUCUGGUGCGCUUGGUCGCCAUCAUAGCAUUCUUCGCGUGGCGCGUAGAGCACAGGAACCACGAUGGCAUGUGGCUCUGGGCCACGUCCAUGGUUGCGGACGCCUGGUUCGGUUUCUCAUGGCUCCUCAACCAGCUCCCCAAGCUCAACCCCAUCAAACGUGUGCCGGACCUUGCCGCCCUGGCGGACCUUCACGGCGAAGCCGUUCUUCCAGGAAUCGACGUCUUUGUCACGACCGUCGACCCCGUGGAUGAACCCGUCAUGUACACGGUGAACACCAUCCUCUCUAUCCUCGCCGCCGACUACCCCGUUGACAAGUACGCCUGCUACCUCUCCGACGACGGUGGCUCAUUGGUACACUAUGAGGCGAUGAUCCAAAUUGUUCAUUUCGCUGCUUUGUGGGUCCCGUUUUGCCGGAAGCAUUGCAUCGAGCCAAGGUCCCCAGAGAACUAUUUUGGGAUGAAAACCCGGCCGUAUGUCGGGGGUAUGGCAGGAGAGUUCAUGAGUGAUCACAGGCGUGUCCGCAGAGAAUACGGUGAGUUCAAGGUGAUAAUAGAUUCCCUUUCUACAACCAUCCGCCGACGGUCUGAUGCCUACAACAAAAGAGAUGAUGGUGUACAUGCCACUUGGAUGGCUGAUGGGACACAAUGGGCGGGUACAUGGAUUGAGCAAGCUGACAACCAUCGAAGAGGACAACAUGCUGGAAUUGUUCAGGUCAUGCUAGACCAUCCAAGUUGUAAACCACAACUUGGAUCUUCGGCGAGAACCAACAAUCCAAUUGACUUAAGCAACGUUGACACAAGACUCCCCAUGCUCGUAUACAUUUCCCGAGAGAAGCAUCCCGGUUAUGAUAACCAAAAGAAGGCAGGCGCCAUGAACGUGAUGCUCCGCGUCUCCGCGUUACUCUCCAAUGCGCCCUUCGUCAUCAACUUUGACUGCGACCACUACAUCAACAACUCGCAAGCUCUCCGCGCCCCUAUGUGCUUCAUGCUCGACCCUCGUGAUGGUCAGAACACGGCCUUCGUCCAGUUCCCACAACGCUUCGACGAUGUCGACCCGACAGAUCGCUACUCCAACCACAAUCGUGUCUUCUUCGACGGCACCAUGCUCUCGCUCAACGGCCUCCAAGGACCUACCUACCUCGGCACCGGUACCAUGUUCCGUCGUGUCGCACUCUAUGGCAUGGAGCCACCAUGCUAUAGAGCGGAGAACAUCAAGCUGGUAGGUAAGGCCGCUGAGUUGGGUAACUCAACGCCAUUCCUGAACUCAAUACCGGAUGGCGCAAUCCAAGAGCGGUCUAUCACCCCGGUGUUGGUCGACGAGGGGCUUAGCAAUGACAUAGCCACCCUGAUGACAUGCACUUAUGAGGACGGUAGUUCAUGGGGGAGAGACGUUGGGUGGGUGUACAACAUCGCGACGGAGGAUGUGGUGACCGGAUUCCGCAUCCACCGACAAGGGUGGCGUUCCAUGUAUUGCUCCAUGGAGCCAGCCGCGUUCCGCGGAACGGCACCGAUCAACCUCACAGAGCGCCUCUACCAGGUGCUCCGGUGGUCGGGCGGCUCCCUCGAGGUGUUUUUCUCCCACAGCAACGCUCUCAUCGCCAGCCGCCGGCUCAACCCUCUGCAGCGCAUCGCUUACCUCAACAUGUCAAUCUACCCAAUCGCCACGAUGUUCAUCCUGGCAUACAGCUUCUUCCCGGUGAUGUGGCUCUUCUCCGAGCAGUCGUACUACAUCCAGAGGCCGUUCGGCACGUUCAUCAUGUACCUCGUCGUUGUCAUAGCGAUGAUGCACGUGAUCGGCAUGUUCGAGGUGAAAUGGGCGGGGAUCACGCUGCAAGACUGGUGGCGCAACGAGCAGUUCUACAUGAUCGCGGCGACGGGCGUGUACCCGACGGCGGUGCUGUACAUGGCGCUGAAGCUCAUCAGGGGGAAGGGGAUAUACUUCAGGCUCACGUCCAAGCAGACGGAGGCCUGCUCCGACGAGAAGUUCGCCGACCUGUACACUGUGCGGUGGGUGCCGUUGCUGAUCCCGACCGUGGCGGUGCUCAUCGUGAACGUCACAGCCGUCGGGGCGGCGAUAGGCAAGGCAGCGACAUGGGGCUUUUUCACGGACCAGGCGUGGCACGCGGUGCUCGGGAUGGUGUUCAACGUGGGUACCCUCGUGCUCCUCUACCCGUUUGCACUCGGCAUCAUGGGGCAAUGGGGGAAGAGACCAGGCAUACUGUUGGUCAUGUUGGUCAUGGCCAUUGGCACCGUCGGCCUCUUGUAUGUCACACUCCAGCAGGAUGGUCACAGGAUGUCGUUCCUAACCAGGCCAUCUGGGUAG
rnacentral:rRNA from 1 species